rnacentral:lncRNA from 1 species
GUGAUUUUGUAAUUUCAAUUUCAAAGAAUAUAAAAUAAGUUCUUUCAAACCAGACAAUAUUUAAGAUAACCUUUAUUUACAAUGUUUAAACUGGUACUGUUGUCUUGUUCAUCAUGUUCAUGUUCAUGUUUUUUUUACAUUAAAUUUGGGUCUUCGUCGAUACCAUACUUAUUCCAACGUUCCGUAUUAGAGGACGUUUCUGGCAUAUCCUCUGC